GCAGCCGGCAAGUGCUCACGUCAGCGUCCCGGCGGCCACGGGCUCAGGACGGAGGUCCGUGGACCCUGGGGUCUUCGCCUCCGUAAAACGGGAGGUGAAAACAGGACCCACGGCUCCCCGCCCUGUCGCAGAACCGGGCGAGAUAACCAGAAUCCGUUAUCGUAUUGGCGCGGGCGCCUUUGUUCCACUUCAGAGGAACCAGCAGCGCGGAGCGGGGGUCGCGACUCGAGAUCAAGAGCCAGCACCGGGCGAACCGCGCGCGCUCCCGGGCGGCACGAGCACCGGCGCGCGGCGGAGCGGCCCGGCCCUCGCCCAGCGCCCAGACCGGGGGUCCUCACGCCCGCGGCGGAGCGGCUCGGCCCUCGCCGAGCGCCCAGACGGGGGUCCUCACGCCCGCGGCGGAGCGGCCCGGCCCUCGCCGAGCGCCCAGACCGAAGGUCCUCACGCCCAGACCGGGGUCCUCACGCCCAGACCGGGGUCCUCACGACCAGACGGGGGUCCUCACGCCCGCGGCGGAGCGGCCCGGCCCUCGCCCAGUGCCCAGACCGGGGUCCUCACGCCCGCGGCGGAGCGGCCCGGCCCUCGCCCAGUGCCCAGACCGGGGUCCUCACGCCCGCGGCCUCCGCCCCGCACCCCGGCGCCGCGGCGGCUCCUCCCGCUCCCGGGGAUCCCGGCCACUCCUCCCGGUUCCUGCGGGCACAGCGUGGCGGGCCCUGGCCCCUGCGACUCCUCCAGGCUCCCAGGGGUCCACCCCGCUCCCGGGGUCCGACAGCAAAGGGCUCGGCCCCCCGACUUCUCCCGACUCCCGAGGGCGACGGGUCCUGGCCCCCCAACUCCUCCCGGCUCCCCGCCCCCAGGGGCAGAGAACCGGGACUCCUCCCAGACGCCCGGGGCCGAAGGCGCUGGACCCCGAGUCCAGCUGCUGCCCGCUCUCGGGCGCUGUGGCCCGGCUCGGCGCUGCUGCCGCAGGACAAGCGCCCGGUGACCAGCACAGCGGCCGGCCGGGCCCUGAGCGAGGACCCCUGGGAGGCCUAG
rnacentral:lncRNA from 1 species